UACAGAGGGUGCGAGCGUUAAUCGGAAUUACUGGGCGUAAAGCGCGCGUAGGCGGCUUUGCAAGUCGAGUGUGAAAUCCCCGGGCUUAACCUGGGAACUGCGUUUGAAACUACAAGGCUAGAGUGUGGCAGAGGGGGGUGGAAUUCCACGUGUAGCAGUGAAAUGCGUAGAGAUGUGGAGGAACACCGAUGGCGAAGGCAGCCCCCUGGGUUAACACUGACGCUCAGGCACGAAAGCGUGGGGAGCAAACAGG
rnacentral:rRNA from 1 species